rnacentral:rRNA from 1 species
ACGCAAAUAGUGAUAACACAUUUUAGCGGAGUGAUGAGUGCUGGAUAAAUUGCUAGCGGCGGACGGGUGCGUAACACGUGGGUAACCUGCCCCUAUCACUGGGAUAACACACUGAAAAGUGUGCUAAUACCAGAUAAUAUAAGCUUUUGGCAUCAUUAGCUUAUCAAAGAAUUUCGGAUAGGGAUGGGCCCGCGUCUGAUUAGCUAGUUGGUGAGGUAACGGCUCACCAAGGCAACGAUCAGUAGCCGACCUGAGAGGGUGAUCGGCCACACUGGAACUGAGACACGGUCCAGACUCCUACGGGAGGCAGCAGUGGGGAAUAUUGCACAAUGGGCGAAAGCCUGAUGCAGCAACGCCGCGUGAGCGAUGAAGGCCUUCGGGUCGUAAAGCUCUGUCCUAUGGGAAGAUAAUGACGGUACCAUAGGAGGAAGCCCCGGCUAACUACGUGCCAGCAGCCGCGGUAAUACGUAGGGGGCAAGCGUUAUCCGGAAUUACUGGGCGUAAAGGGUGCGUAGGCGGUUUAUCAAGUCAGGGGUGAAAGGCUACGGCUCAACCGUAGUGAGCCUCUGAAACUGGUGAACUUGAGUGUAGGAGAGGAAAGUGGAAUUCCCAGUGUAGCGGUGAAAUGCGUAGAUAUUGGGAGGAACACCAGUGGCGAAGGCGACUUUCUGGACUACAACUGACGCUGAGGCACGAAAGCGUGG